GCCGCGUGAGUGAUGAAGGCCUUAGGGUUGUAAAGCUCUUUUCGCUGGGAAGAUAAUGACGGUACCAGCAGAAAAAGCCCCGGCUAACUCCGUGCCAGCAGCCGCGGUAAUAC
rnacentral:rRNA from 1 species